ensembl:snRNA U6 U6 spliceosomal RNA
GUGCUUCUGCAAGCACAUAUACUAAAAUUGGAACAAUACAGAGAAGAUUAGUGUGGCCCCUGCAUGCGGAUGACAUGCAAAUUCCUGAAAUAUUCUAUAUUUUU